UAGGGAAUCUUCGGCAAUGGGGGGAACCCUGAUCGAGCAACGCCGCGUGUGUGAAGAAGGUUUUCGGAUCGUAAAGCUCUGUUGUUAAGGAAGAACGAGUGUGAGAAUGGAAAGUUCAUGCUGUGACGGUACUUAACCAGAAAGGGACGGCUAACUACGUGCCAGCAGCCGCGGUAAUACGUAGGUCCCGAGCGUUGUCCGGAUUUAUUGGGCGUAAAGCGAGCGCAGGCGGUUAGAAAAGUCUGAAGUGAAAGGCAGUGGCUCAACCAUUGUAGGCUUUGGAAACUGUUUAACUUGAGUGCAGAAGGGGAGAGUGGAAUUCCAUGUGUAGCGGUGAAAUGCGUAGAUAUAUGGAGGAACACCGGUGGCGAAAGCGGCUCUCUGGUCUGUAACUGACGCUGAGGCUCGAAAGCGUGGGGAGCGAACAGG
rnacentral:rRNA from 1 species